rnacentral:rRNA from 1 species
CUUGGUCAUUUAGAGGAAGUAAAAGUCGUAACAAGGUCUCCGUUGGUGAACCAGCGGAGGGAUCAUUACCGAGUUAUUACUCCAAACCCUUUGUGAACCUUACCAUUUUGUUGCUCGGCGCACCGCGGGCCGCGGCUUCGGCCCGUCCCGCAGCGCGCCAGAGGACCCAACUCUUCAAUUUAUAGCGUACCUUCUGAUUUACAAAACAAACAAGUUAAAACUUUCAACAACGGAUCUCUUGGUUCUGGCAUCGAUGAAGAACGCAGCGAAAUGCGAUAAGUAAUGUGAAUUGCAGAAUUCAGUGAAUCAUCGAAUCUUUGAACGCACAUUGCGCCCGGCAGUAAUCUGCCGGGCAUGCCUGUCCGAGCGUCAUUUCACCCCUCGAGCCGCUUUUAGUGGACCGGUGUUGGGGCACUACGGUAAAACGUAGGCCCCGAAAUGAAGUGGCGGUCCCGCCGCGGUGCCCCCAUGCGUAGUAACGUUUAGUCUCGCAUCGGGUCCCGGCGGAGGCCUGCCGUCAAGCCUAUUUAUUCUCAGAAUAGUUUGACCUCGGAUCAGGUAGGGUUACCCGCUGAACUUAAGCAUAUCAAUAAGCGGAGGA